rnacentral:rRNA from 1 species
GACGAACGCUGGCGGCGUGCCUAAUACAUGCAAGUUGAGCGAUUAAGAUUGGUGCUUGCACCAAUUUGAAGAGCAGCGAACGGGUGAGUAACGCGUGGGGAAUCUGCCUUUGAGCGGGGGACAACAUUUGGAAACGAAUGCUAAUACCGCAUAACAACUUUAAACAUAAGUUUUAAGUUUGAAAGAUGCAAUUGCAUCACUCAAAGAUGAUCCCGCGUUGUAUUAGCUAGUUGGUGAGGUAAAGGCUCACCAAGGCGAUGAUACAUAGCCGACCUGAGAGGGUGAUCGGCCACAUUGGGACUGAGACACGGCCCAAACUCCUACGGGAGGCAGCAGUAGGGAAUCUUCGGCAAUGGACGAAAGUCUGACCGAGCAACGCCGCGUGAGUGAAGAAGGUUUUCGGAUCGUAAAACUCUGUUGGUAGAGAAGAACGUUGGUGAGAGUGGAAAGCUCAUCAAGUGACGGUAACUACCCAGAAAGGGACGGCUAACUACGUG